rnacentral:lncRNA from 1 species
UGACUUUAAUGCUAAUCUAUGUAUGGAAUUAAAUUUAUACCUGAUUUACCUUUAGAAAUUGGAAACUUUCAUAUAUCAUUCAUGAAAGUACAAAUGUAGCCCUAUCUUUUGCAACAAUAAAAACAUAGGGUCAUGCGGCAUUUUUGGGCAUUCACAUGGCCUUGUUUACAAACAAUGUAGAUUCGCACUGAAUUCCUAUACUGACCCCAUUACUUUUCAACCCUGUAGUAAAAAAAAUUAGUACAUUCAGCAUUUAUUUUUUAUUUUUUUUCAACUCUAGUUUUGAUCCAUCUGCCAAAAAAUAUUUA